rnacentral:lncRNA from 1 species
AUUCUAUUCGGUAAUCAUUAGUGAUGAUUUCUAAUCCCUUCCCAGUGGUAAAAAUAUAAAUAACGAUACCUAGAAUACUUCCCGGUUAAAAUGCUGCAUCGGUAUUAAUCUGUGCGCUUGCAGAUCCCAUUCAUUAUUUAUUUAGAAGAGCAUUUGCAUAUUUCAAUACCGCGUCUCUCAUGUCAUGCUGGGGAUGACAACUUGGCUUAAGUGGUGUGAGGGAUAGGUUUGGCAUUUUUGGCACCGUCACU